rnacentral:rRNA from 1 species
UACGGAGGGAGCUAGCGUUGUUCGGAAUUACUGGGCGUAAAGCGCACGUAGGCGGCUUUGUAAGUCAGAGGUGAAAGCCUGGAGCUCAACUCCAGAAUUGCCUUUGAGACUGCAUCGCUUGAAUCCAGGAGAGGUGAGUGGAACUCCGAGUGUAGAGGUGAAAUUCGUAGAUAUUCGGAAGAACACCAGUGGCGAAGGCGGCUCACUGGCCCGGUACUGACGCUCAGGUGCGAAAGCGUGGGGAGCAAACAGG